rnacentral:rRNA from 1 species
UACGAAGGGGGCUAGCGUUGCUCGGAAUCACUGGGCGUAAAGGGUGCGUAGGCGGGUUCUUAAGUCAGAGGUGAAAUCCUGGAGCUCAACUCCAGAACUGCCUUUGAUACUGAGAGUCUUGAGUACGGGAGAGGUGAGUGGAACUGCGAGUGUAGAGGUGAAAUUCGUAGAUAUUCGCAAGAACACCAGUGGCGAAGGCGGCUCACUGGCCCGUACUGACGCUGAGGCACGAAAGCGUGGGGAGCAAACAGG